GCCUCGAUAGCUCAGUAGGUAGAGCAGAGGACUGAAAAUCCUCGUGUCGGUGGUUCAAUUCCGCCUCGAGGCACCA
rnacentral:tRNA from 1 species